rnacentral:rRNA from 1 species
UAGACCAAUGUAUAAUGGCAGUCAUUAUUUAUUAAAGAAACUCGCUUUAUAAUCGUAAACACCCGUUAAAUUUAACUUUACACUAAAGCCUAUAUACCGCCGCUCAGAUUUAAUACAAAAUCAAAGCUUAUAAACAAGAAAAAUCAGGUCAAGGUGUAGCUAAUUAUAGAGUAAAAGUAAGUUACACUAAAAAUAAUUUAAGAAAGAAAACUAAAAAUUAAACAGAAAAAGGAAUUUAUAUGUACAUACAGACCAAAAUUCAA